GAGAGAUGAUGAUAAAAUUCAUGGUAUGUCAAUCCACUGAAUUUUGUGAUGUUACUCUUGAAUCUCAACGUAUUCUAAUCGC